AUUGAACGCUGGCGGCAUGCCUUACGCAUGCAAGUCGAACGGAUUGAAGGGGCUUGCUCCUUCAGUUAGUGGCGAACGGGUGAGUAAAGCAUCGGAACGUACCCAGUCGUGGGGGAUAACGUAGCGAAAGUUACGCUAAUACCGCAUACGAUCUGAGGAUGAAAGCGGGGGAUCGCAAGACCUCGCGCGAUUGGAGCGGCCGAUGUCGGAUUAGCCAGUUGGUGAGGUAAAGGCUCACCAAGGCGACGAUCCGUAGCUGGUCUGAGAGGAUGAUAAGCCACACUGGAACGGAGACACGGUCCAGACUCCUACGGGGGGCAGCAGUGGGGAAUUUUGGACAAUGAGGGAAACCCUGAUCCAGCCAUGCCGCGUGAGUGAAGAAGGCCUUCGGGUUGUAAAGCUCUUUCAGUCGGAAAGAAAAGGCUCCGGAUAAUACCUGGAGUUGAUGACGGUACCGACAGAAGAAGCACCGGCUAACUACGUGCCAGCCGCCGCCGUAA
rnacentral:rRNA from 1 species